UGGGGAAUAUUGGGCAAUGGGGGAAACCCUGACCCAGCAACGCCGCGUGAAGGACGAAGGCCUUCGGGUUGUAAACUUCUUUGAUCAGGGACGAAACAAAUGACGGUACCUGAGGAACAAGCCACGGCUAACUACGUGCCAGCAGCCGCGGUAAUACGUAGGUGGCAAGCGUUAUCCGGAUUUACUGGGUGUAAAGGGCGUGUAGGCGGUCUUGCAAGUCGGAAGUGAAAUUCCCGGGCUUAACCCGGGCGCUGCUCCCGAAACUGCGAGACUUGAGUACUGGAGAGGAUAGUGGAAUUCCUAGUGUAGCGGUAAAAUGCGUAGAUAUUAGGAGGAACACCAGUAGUGAAGACGGCUUUCUGGUCUGUUACUGACGCUGAGGAGCGAAAGCCAGGGGAGCGAACCG
rnacentral:rRNA from 1 species